rnacentral:rRNA from 1 species
CAGCCGCCGCGGUAAUACGGAGGGUGCAAGCGUUAUCCGGAUUCACUGGGUUUAAAUGGUGCGUAGGCGGGCAGGUAAGUCAGUGGUGAAAUCUUCGAGCUUAACUCGGAAACUGCCGUUGAUACUAUCUGUCUUGAAUAACGUUGAGGUGAGCGGAAUAUGUCAUGUAGCGGUGAAAUGCUUAGAUAUGACAUAGAACACCGAUUGCGAAGGCAGCUCACUAAACGCUCAUUGACGCUGAGGCACGAAAGCGUGGGGAUCAAACAGGAUUAGAUACCCCCGUAGUCCCUGUCUCUUAUAC